rnacentral:rRNA from 1 species
GUACUCGAGUGGCGAACGGGUGAGUAACACGUGGGUGAUCUGCCCUGUACUUUGGGAUAAGCCUGGGAAACUGGGUCUAAUACCGAAUAUGACCACUUCUUGGAUGGGGCGGUGGAAAGCUUUUGCGGUAUGGGAUGAGCUCGCGGCCUAUCAGCUUGUUGGUGGGGUAAUGGCCUACCAAGGCGUCGACGGGUAGCCGGCCUGAGAGGGUGUACGGCCACAUUGGGACUGAGAUACGGCCCAGACUCCUACGGGAGGCAGCAGUGGGGAAUAUUGCACAAUGGGCGCAAGCCUGAUGCAGCGACGCCGCGUGGGGGAUGACGGCCUUCGGGUUGUAAACUCCUUUCGCAACCGACGAAGCUUUUGUGACGGUAGGUUGAGAAGAAGCACCGGCUAACUACGUGCCAGCAGCCGCGGUAAUACGUAGGGUGCGAGCGUUGUCCGGAAUUACUGGGCGUAAAGAGCUCGUAGGUGGUUUGUCGCGUCGUUUGUGGAAUACCGCAGCUUAACUGCGGGGUUGCAGGCGAUACGGGCAUAACUUGAGUGCUGUAGGGGAGACUGGAAUUCCUGGUGUAGCGGUGGAAUGCGCAGAUAUCAGGAGGAACACCGAUGGCGAAGG